AAGGACUUAAGUUAAAAAAACUAUUAACCUUCAAAGUUAGAAUUAAAGGAAAAUUUUUUAGGCCUUA
rnacentral:tRNA from 1 species